rnacentral:rRNA from 1 species
GACGAACCGUGCGAACGUUAUUCGGAAUCACUGGGCUUAAAGCGCGUGUAGGCGGGACGGCACGUCCGUCGCUGAAAUCCCCCGGCUCAACCGGGGAACUGGCGGGGAUACGACCGUCCUGGAGGGACGUAGGGGGACCUGGAACUUCCGGUGGAGCGGUGAAAUGCGUUGAGAUCGGAAGGAACGCCCGUGGCGAAAGCGAGGUCCUGGACGUUUUCUGACGCUGAGACGCGAAAGCCAGGGGAGCGAACGGG